AUAAUCAUUAUACAUGUUAGUGGGCGAUUGGCCUUUGAGCACGGUGAAUUCUUUGAGCGCGAUAAGGUUACCAGGACAGAGUGAACCGAGAUCGAAACAAUACUGAAAAAUCGCCUUCUUGUCGCUUGUUCCUUUCUCGAAGCAAUGACUGAGACGCAAAGAAAGAAAGACAGAGAAAGAGAGAAUAAAAAGUGAGUGAUUUAGAAGAAGAAGAA